rfam:Oryza barthii chromosome 11, whole genome shotgun sequence.
UUUAAAUACAACCAUAAUUUUUCGUACUCAACUUUGAUCGUCCAUCUUAUUUGAAUUUUUUUAUAAUUUAUAUUUUUUAUUGUUAUGAGAUGAUAAAAUAUGGAUAGUACUUUAUACAUGAUUUAUGUUUUUAAUUUUUUUCAAAAAAAUUUUAAAUAAGACAGAUGAUCAAAGUUGUGCACGGAAAAUCAUGGUUGCAUUUAAA